rnacentral:lncRNA from 1 species
UUUGAAUGCAAUGUGAAUAAUAAAAUGUUUAACUAUUUCACUUCUGUGUUUUUUGUUUUGUUUUGCUUUGUUUUUAGCAUUUGAGGUUGGAAUAAUGCUGAAGACCUAAAUUCCACAUUACUUCAGAAGAUGAGGAGGACUGGGAAGUGAGCUGUGUUUUCCAAGCUGAAGUUUCAUCUACAGACAGAACACUGGUAGUGCUAUGGAAACAAGGUUGAAAGGAGCUGUUUUGAUUCAAAGUUGACAAAACCACCCCAGAAAUAUAAAAAAGAAGGAAAGAAAAAAAGAAAUAA